GGCAACCCUGACGGAGCAACGCCGCGUGGGGGAGGAAGGUCUGUGGAUUGUAAACCCCUUUUCUCAGGGAAGAAGUUCUGACGGUACCUGAGGAAUCAGCAUCGGCUAACUCCGUGCCAGCAGCCGCGGUAAGACGGAGGAUGCAAGCGUUAUCCGGAAUUAUUGGGCGUAAAGCGUCCGUAGGCGGUUUUACAAGUCUGUCGUUAAAGACUGCAGCUCAACUGUGGGUAAGCGAUGGAAACUGUAGAACUGGAGUACGGUAGGGGUAGAGGGAAUUCCCAGUGUAGCGGUGAAAUGCGUAGAUAUUGGGAAGAACACCAGUGGCGAAGGCGCUCUACUGGGCCGUAACUGACGCUGAGGGACGAAAGCUAGGGGAGCG
rnacentral:rRNA from 1 species